UACGUAGGGGGCGAGCGUUGUCCGGAUUCAUUGGGCGUAAAGAGCUCGUAGGCGGCCCUCCACGUCGGAUGUGAAAGCUCAGGGCUCAACCCUGAGAUGCCAUUCGAUACGGGAAGGCUAGAGGUAGGUAGGGGAAAGUGGAAUUCCUGGUGUAGCGGUGAAAUGCGCAGAUAUCAGGAAGAACACCCGUGGCGAAGGCGGUUCUCUGGGACGGUACUGACGCUGAGGAGCGAAAGCGUGGGGAGCGAACAGG
rnacentral:rRNA from 1 species